GGGGACGGGGGAGUGGUAGUGGGGGCUGCAGCUGCGGGACCCAGGCACUGACCCUUGACCUCCGGUGGCUCCCCCAUCUCUCAGGCGCGAUGGCUACGGGCGCGGAUGUACGGGACAUUCUAGAACUCGGGGGUCCAGAAGGGGAUGCAGCCUCUGGGACCAUCAGCAAGAAGGACAUUAUCAACCCGGACAAGAAAAAAUCCAAGAAGUCCUCUGAGACACUGACUUUCAAGAGGCCCGAGGGCAUGCACCGGGAAGUCUAUGCCUUGCUCUACUCUGACAAGAACAAGGGCUCCUGCUUGCUUAGCAGGAUGCAGGAGGACCUGAAAUCUCUUGCUCCAGGACAUGAGUUUCUUGCUAUAGGGGAUGCACCCCCACUGCUACCCAGUGACACUGGCCAGGGAUACCGUACAGUGAAGGCCAAGUUGGGCUCCAAGAAGGUGCGGCCUUGGAAGUGGAUGCCAUUCACCAACCCGGCCCGCAAGGAUGGAGCAAUGUUCUUCCACUGGCGACGUGCAGCGGAGGAGGGCAAGGACUACCCCUUUGCCAGGUUUAAUAAGAGUUGACCUUUGGACUCCACAGAAGCACUUACAUGUGGGCCCCUCACCUUAACUAUGGGGGCAGGAGUGUGUGUCCCAUGACUGAGGCUCUGGAGCUGGAGACAGUGAAGUUGAUCCUGGAGUAAAUCAGAGGCAGGCUACAGUCCCAAACCCUGCUAGGACCUCUAGUCAAGCAGACAAGUUCUUUCCUCACUCCAUGCUGCAGGGGCACAGGCCUAGGGGCUGGCAACAAACAGGAGGAGCUGUGGUCACUGGGGGCUGGAGCCUGCUGGACGUGACAUGAUGUGGGCAUGCCCCUACCG
rnacentral:sRNA from 1 species